CCAAAAUGGUCAAAAGCCUGGAAACAAUGCCUUAUGAGGAACGGCUUAGGGAGCUGGGUAUGUUUAGCCUGGAGAAGAGAAGGUUAAGGGGUGAUAUGAUAGACAUGUUCAAAUAUAUGAAAGGAUGUCAUAUAGAGGAGGCAGAAAGGUUGUUUUCUUCUGCUCCAGAGAACCGGACAUGGAGCAAUGGAUUCAAACUACAAGAAAGAAGAUUUGACCUAAACAUUAGGAAGAACUUCCUGACAGUAAGAGCUGUUCGGCAGUGGAAUUUGCUACCAAGGAGUGUGGUGGAGUCUCCUUCUUUGGAGGUCUUUAAGCGGAGGCUUGACAGCCAUAUGUCAAGAAUGCUUUGAUGGUGUUUCCUGCUCGGCAGGGGGUUGGACUGGAUGGCCCUUGUGGUCUCUUCCAACUCUAUGAUUCUAUGAGUUGUUUCAGAUCACAAAUCUGAUCAGUCUCAGCUGAUGGAGCAUGGUCGUAGGGUGCUAUGUCAAAUCAAAUCAAAUCAAAUCAAUAACCUUUAUUAGGCAUGACAAAUUCAGAAGCUUCAGAACAAAAUUAUGAGUAAAACAUUCACAUUAUAAACUUCAUGAAAUAAAAUACAUAUUAAUUGAUUUAGUAUUUUAGAGCAAUAUAUCAAUUUUCAAUUAGCAUCCCCUGGUCCUCUCCACAGUGGCCCAAUCUCUCUGCGUAAACCGAGCACAAAAACUCAGCCACCACUAAAGUAACUCCAUCAUUAUUAUCUGACAAUAACCCCUGAAUAGUUGGCAUUGCUGCGAUCGAUGCAUCCACCUGCAAAGCAUCCAGCAAUCGUCUUCUCGCAUUAAUACUGUAAUUACAGGAAAAGAAAAUGUGGUCCAAUGUAUCUGGUUCAUUCUUCCCGCAUUUACAUAAACGUUCGGCUUUUGGGAGAGCUAGAUAUCUUCCUUCUGUCUCCAUAGAGGGGAACACGUUGAAUCUAGCCAACAUGAAGAGCCUGCACCCUUCCUGACUCUUCAAGUUUGCCAUAUAUCCCCCUUUAAAGUCUCUACACAUUGGGAGGUUCAGGUGUAAUGGGGAGCAGGUGCUGCGCCCCGCCAUCUCAAGUAAGUAGAGGGUGCUUUUCUCUAUAAGAGUCUUUCUAAUAAUUUUCCAGACUUCUUUGGGGUCAACGUUUUCAAAAUCAGUUAUCUUUAGUCCUAUUGAGUUCAACUUUCUCCUGCAAGUCAGUGAUAGGUUAUAGCUUAUACUAUCACUUAGAAGGUCGUAAAGGAGAGAGUUAGGAGAUAGGGCUCUACUAUGAAGGAAGAUCCAGUAUUUCAAAGUCCUCAGCCACGCUCUUAUUGAUAGAGGUAGUAUUCCUAGCUCGCAGCAUAUUGACUCAUAUUUAACAGAGUUUGUAAGUCCAAAUAAUGACCUCAAGAGGGAUGCAUGAAAUUUGUCCAACUUCUUGAGGUCACCUGAAAUCCAUAGUGGGGCGCCAUAUAAAAGUUGUGGGCAAAGUUUCAUAUCAAUUACUUGCAGUGCCGCUGGAAUAUAUCUAUUUCCUUCAGGGGAGAAAAAAUGAGAUUUGAUAUGGUGGGCUGUCCCUUUGGCCUUGGCUAUUGCCACAGAGAUAUGUGCAUUCCAGUUCAUGUUAUUUUUAAAUAGAAUCCCCAGAUAAUUAAUCUGCUUCACUUCCUGUAUUAGAUGUCCACUAAUUAUAUAGUCUUUUGGGUUUCCUCUCUUUUUAAACUGCAUAAUUUUGGUCUUCCUUUGCUAUGUUUAACAGGAAAGGUAGUCCAGCCAGGGCAGUCUCGAGCAGGUGGCGCGCCCUGGCGCUGAGGGGCGGAGAUCGCUCCGGCGCCCCCGCCCUCGCAGGGCACAGCAUGGUUUCCACGCCUACCAGCCUGGCACACCACGCCACUGGGGCUCUACCUAGAGCCGGCCCUGAGUCCAGCACACCUGGAGGGCACCAGCCUUGAAUUGUUGCUAUUGCAGUUCAGACAGAGAGCUGAGAGAGAGAGGCUUCUCCAAAGCUACCAGGGCUGUGGGGUGCUCACAUGACUGCAUUGGCCUGCUUUUCCUCUGUUGAAUUCAAGAGAUCAGAACUUUUUUCAGCUGCCUUCCUCCCCAGGAAAGACAACGGGCUGCUUGAGUAUUCUCAGUUUGGUCAGCUGUGACUCUGCUGUCAGAGAUGAGAUAUGUGCUCUGUCAGCUGGUCAUUCCUUCGCAGAGUUCUGGCUGUGGCCUUCCUCAAUCAAUUAGUCUCACAGUAAACAAUAGGAGCUUGGCAGGAGGGAAUAAACAUCCCCGGCUGCCCACAGGAAGCCCAACACUUGGAAGGAGGGUGUACCUUCCUUUCCCAGCAAGUUGGGUGGCUCUUCUUGAUGGCUUUCCUCUCCUGCUGGCAAAGUGUCUGGUUUGUUGCAUCACAAUGGAAGAGCGGCCAUCAGAACAAGGGCCCUGGUGCCUUUUUUGCUGCCAGAAGAAAGAAAGAUUCCUGCAGCAAUUAUUGUGCAUAUUUUAAUGUGCAUGUUUAUUUCUAAGUAUGAGAUGCACGCCUCAGGAUCUGCAGCAUUAAACAAAUAAAAACCAGAAUCACUGGAUUAACAUGCACCAUUGAUAAGGCCACCCCAAGACAUGAUGAGCAGAAGAGCUGCUGCAAAUCAGUGUUGACAGUACUGAGCUAGACGAAGUUGGUAUAAUGCAGUGCCAUGCCUUCCCCCAACCUGGUGCCCUCCAGAUGUUUUGGACUACAACUCUCAUCGGACCCAACGCGUGGCUGGAGGGCACUAGGCCUGGAGGAAGUUGCUGCUAAAUUUCUCUCCUCAUUAGGUCUGGGCUUAGAAGUGCCAGGUGUGAGAGGAGGGGCAACAGUGAGGGAGCGGCUGGCAGCCAGUGUGAAAGAAUAAUGCUCAGAUGCUCAGAUGGAGGAGUGUGUGUGUAUGACACUGUAUUGGUGUAUUUCCACACAGCCUCUCAGCAGAUGGUCCCAGUAAGCAAAGUGUGGGGGCGGAGCUGUGGGGAGGCAAGGUUCAAUAACUUUUUGGAACAUGUUCCUAGUAAGAGAGCUAGCAAACCUCUCCUUCCAUGAGAUGGUGGAGCUCUUCAGGUUUGCUCCAGUUUGCUCUCAUGCUUGUAGUGGAAUAGCUAAUCCUGCCUUUCUGCUUUGGGAUCUCAUCUCUUAAAAGGCCACAACCUCCUGUGAUGAAGGUACAGGAGGCACUUGAUAGUGGACCAAGCCUCUGAGAAAGCAUGUGGGAUCCCAACAGGGUUUUUUGUGUUUGCUUUUGCUUUCUCUUUCAUCUUCUGAAAUGUCUGUGGGGUGAGGAACAUCACAAGAGCUCCUGCAGAUGGAUCAGGCCAAAGACCAACAUGGUCCAGCAUCUUGUGACCUACAGAGGCCAACUAGGUGACACUGGGAAGGUUAAUUUAAUGGACACUAUGAAGGACACGGGUGGCGCUGUGGGUUAAACCACAGAGCCUAGGUCUUGCCGAUCAGAAGGUCGGCAGUUCGAAUCCCCGUGAUGGGGUGAGCUCCCGUUGCUCGGUCCCUGCUCCUGCCAACCUAGCAGUUCAAAAGCACAUCAAAGUGCUAGUAGAUAAAUAGGUACCACUGUGGCGGGAAGGUAAAUGGCGUUUCCGUGCGCUGCUCUGGUUCGCCAGAAGCGGCUUAGUCAUGCUGGCCACAUGACCCGGAAGCUGUACGCUGGCUCCCUCGGCCAAUAAAGCGAGAUGAGCGCCGCAACCCCAGUCACAACUGGACCUAAUGGUCAGGGGUCCCUUUACCUUUUUAUGAAGGUGUUGGGAGUUCUAAGAGAGGGAAAGGCAACUGUGCAACUACCGGUAUUACUCAUGUAUUCAGUACACCCUCAGGUUUACUACACAUAGUGCCUCAUAUUUUUGUAUAAGAUGGCUUUCCUUGAAGUAUGACCGGAUCAAGGUGUGGAACAUGUGUUUUACAAUUGUACAAAUGGUUUAAUUCCUCUUAGUUUACUGAGUCUAUAGUGUUUGGUAUUUUAUAUUUGUCUUAUUGUACAGUACACCACUUUGGUAUGGUAUGCAAAAAUAGGCACAGAGAGAAUCAAAUAGAGUCUGCAGAAUGGAACCCUCUAAGCAUUUUGAAAAAUGUCCUUCAAGAGAUUAUCUACAUCAGGUAUCCUCAACCUCUUCAGGCUCAAGACCCACUUUUAACCCAAACAUGCACUUGGGGGACCCAUUUCUUAAUCUUUUAACAUAUAUUUACAAGGUAGUAGUGCUGUUACAACCCACCACAGAUCAGGCCCACCAGUUGAAGACCAGUGAUUCUAGAUACAGUACAAUCACAUUUUACAUGGGAGUUUGGUUCCAAGGGUUCCCUGUAUAUGCAAAAAUGCAUAUACUCUAUGUAUCAGCUCUGGAGGCCCCAAGAUGCUCUCUCAAGAUCUGGUGGGGCCAUCAUUAUCUCAUGAGAGCAUCCCAGACUCAGCACACAGAGAGUGUCUUGGAUCCCAAGCAAGGCACAGAGCUUUUAAGCUCUUUUUCCAUUGGGAAGACCCGGCACAAAAGAGCUUUUGAACUCUCUGCCUUGCUCGCAUUUAACUUGCAGGAUGUCAACCAGUGGCCUUCAACUGCUUAUGGUUGAAUUAGAUGAGUAUAAAAUGUGAUUGUAUUGUACGUGUCAUGAUGUACUUCAGGGCCAUAAGACCAGGUGAGUCUUCCUUAGUCAUUAUCCUUGUACUUUUCUCUUCCUCCCCUCCUCAAAUGCAAAGGAUCUUGGGGGGAAAGGCUGUCUUUCCUGAGCUUGUCCUCCCAGUGACCUUCACCUUCCUUGGGAGUUCUCCCCAGCGUGACACAAGUCUGGUGUAGCAAAGGCUGGUUUGGGCCAGGAUCAUUGCCUCAGGCUCUUUGUCUGCCAGCUCCGGCUUUCCAAAGGAAAGCAGCAUUUGAAAAAGACCUUUAUGUUUCCUGUGUCUUUUGGCUUGGGUCCCUGAGUGGGUUCAGCCUUCCUCCACCCAUUUCAGCAGCAGGAAACAAGCUAUUUCAGGCAAUGGGUUGGUAUUUGCUUCUCAUUUCCUGUGAGGAAUUCUAAUUCCAACAGGAGAUGGGGAGACACACUCCAGGAAUGACCAAGGCCAGAUCAACUACCACUUCUUCUGAACCUUUGGCAAAGCCAGGCACCCCCAAACUGCGACCCUCCAGAUAUUUUGGCCUACAACUCUCAUGAUCCCUAGCUAAGAGGACCAGUGGUCAGGGAAGAUGGGAAUUGUAGUCCAAAACAUCCGGAGGGCCAAAGUUUGGGGAUCCUGCUUUAUACCUUUGUACUGUAUUGCUGUCUUCGGCUUCCCAGCCGUAGUCUGUGGGCCCAAGAGACUUCAAAAUGUAUUGCCUUCAUGGUGAACUCAGUUGCCAGGGAGCUGCGCAAAGGACUGCAGUCAUUUUUAGAGCACCCCACUUGGUUUAUAUGGAGGCGCCCUCACCGCUGAGCCCAAGCUGCCCAUGCCAAACAGAGGACAGAGGACAGCAGAACCUUCCUUUACAAUAAUAAUAAUAAUAAUAAUUACAAAAAAUUAAAGUACAAUUGUACAUUUCAUCAUAAAUGCAAACGAAAACAACCAUCACAUUGCCGCCGCCUCUCAAUCCAGGAGGAGCCCAUCUUCCUCCUGGCUUUGAAAUGCAAUUAAUCUGUCAGCUGAAUCCAUUGUCCUUCUUACCAUUCCUUCGUGUUGAUGAAAGCAAGUCUUUUUUAAAAAAGUGGAAAAACAGGUUUGGGGUGGCUCUGACAGUAGGCAUCCAGGUCUACAAAUAUGUGGAACUAGAGUUCAGUCUUGGACAGAAGAUGGUACUGUACACCAGAACAACCCCCUCCCACCUAUCUCCAUGACUUGAAACAGCCUCUGCCAACCUGGUGCCCUCCAGAUGCUGUUGGACUACGUCUCCCAUCAGUCCCAGCCAGCAUAGCUGCUGACUUAUUUGUUCAUGCCUCCAGAGGCCUUUGUGUGCACCUGGAGCCCUUCCUGGCAUGUUCCUAGUUUCAUGGGAGCAAAAGGUCCCCGACUUCCCUGUGACCUGAAAGGGCAGCCAAGUGUUCUGACCCAGCCCUCUCCUCCUGCCCUGGUUUCUCCAAGACCUUGUUAUCUCUGUAUGCAAUGCACACACACUCCUCCCACUCAGCUGCUGUGUUUCAGCCUCAAGCAGCAUGAUGGGACCAGAGUUCCUUCUGCUAUGAUCAGCCUCUCUCUUUCUGCAGGAGGAAAACAAUUUGAAGCGGUGUCAGGGGGAGGCUGAGCAGGUGACAGAGAUCAUGCUGGAGAACUACAGCAAAGUGCUGAACCGUGAGGGCAAGCUCCGCGAACUGGAUGAAAGGGCAGAUGAACUUCGCAACCAGAGUGUUGCCUUCUGCAAGACAACAAAAGUCGUGGCUCGGAAGAAGCGCUGGGAGAACAUGAAAUGGAAGGUCAUCCUUGUGGGCGUGGUCGCGGGAGUCCUCAUCCUCAUCCUGGCUAUAGUUCUUUACUUCACCCUCCCCAGUUCUGCAAACGUGGACACCCCAGCAAAGGCUGAUGGCGGACACUGAGUGGCUUAGUGGGACAACUCCCAGAUCAUCUCCAGCAGGCCAGGUUGUCUCUUCCUGCCUCUUGCACCAAUGUGUUCUGGAUGGACUUGAGCAGAACUUGGUCACAGAUUUGUUGCAGCAGAAGCCACAAUUCUCUAGCGCCCAGCGACAGUGCUCAGAUAAUAUUUGUGAUCGUUUCUAAAUGGCCAAAGCAUUGUAUGCUUGCAACCCCAUUCAACUGUGAGCUGUGCCACAUGCUCAUCAGCGCUUCUGAAAAUUCUUUGCAUAUUGGAUAUACAGUAUAGAGGAGAAUCUAUGCGAAGAUAAAUGAUGUGGUCCUACGCUGCUGCUGUGCCUUCACCCAGGCAUAUCUGGAGGUGUGUCUCUGUGUUGGCAGAGCAGGUCCUAUCAUUUCCCACAUCCUGCAAAUUCCACUCCUGAAAUUAGCCAUAGUAUACAGAAUCUAGGUUUUGUGUUUUUAUCAUGGUGCAAAGAGAGGCAGAGAAGGGUGGCAGAGAAGGUGAUGAGAUGAUUUUGAGACCUGGGGCACAGGAGUGUUCCGGUGCUAUAGUUCUUUUCAUUUAAGAGCAUAAGAUGUGCCUGCUGGAUCAUCUAGUCCAGCAUCUUGAUCUCGCAGUGGACAACCAGAUACCUGUGGGAAAUCCUCAAGCGGCACCUGAGCACAACAGCCCACCCGCCCCCUCCUGCAGUUUUCAAUGAUUUGUAUUCAGAAGCAUUACUGUAUCUGACUGUGGAGGCAGAAUUGGUAUUGAUUUCAGUGGGAGUUGCCCGAGGUAACUUACUCCUGGAUUGUCUCUCAAGUUAAUAUUGGGAGACGGGGCGGGGAGAUGCCAUUGGGAUUCUCUGCCCCAGGGAACCAACAUGUAUUGAGCCAACUUUGCUUUUUUUAUAAUUUGCAGUGAUAUCAGUAAGAAUGUUUACAGGGAAUGUGAUGAUGCUCUUCGGUUAUGCAAAAAGCAGUGUUUUUGGAGGCCUGGGGAUAUUUUAAAUGUGGCAGGACGCUGGAAGGUUCGCAGCAAUAGCGAGGUCUGCAAGGGCCAAAAUCAUGCAGGUUGUCUUCUCCCAGGUGCCACAAGCCUUUGCAUGCUUCUCAUAUUGAAUACAUGCUCUGUUGCAAUUUGUGCCUUACUUCAGGAUCUUUUUACUGUGAAAUCUGGUACUGAGGUACCAGCUUUACUGCUAUGCCCAUUAAGCGCUAGCAGAAUGCUAGCCCUUCUUUGCUAGCUGUUUCCUUCUCUGAAAUGAAAAUGGCCUGAUGUUUGUCCAUUUUCGUUAAUACAUUAUUGCUUUGCAUUAUUUUAUUUUAUUUUUGCACAUGGCUGCCUGUUUAGUGAUCUAGUAAGACCCACCUUUCCUCCUCGUUUUGAUUUUGUGUUUAGCAGCAUAUGAAGGGGGUCUGUAUAUAUGCCUGUAUACAAACCAAUUCAAGAACAGGCCCAUAUUAUGAGAUGCCCCAAAGUAAAGAGGGGGCAGCCUAGAUAACAUGUGGAGCACAGGUUAAUAAGGAAGAAAAUAUUAAGGAUUACUGGCAUGGAAACAGCCAAAACCACUCCUAGCCUCCACCUAGCAUUGUGCUCCUCCAAUUUCAGCUUAGCAAGUGACUAGAAUAUAGGUUAGUUUCAUUAAUGCUAACUUGUAAAAACAUGUCUCCUAUUUUAAACAGGGAUGGAGGGGAGACUCUCGUUUGUGCUGUGUUCUGUGGCAAAAACAGCAAAAGGUGGAUUGUUUUAUAAUAAUGAGUUGCUGUGCAUGGAUUGCUACAUCUGCUGACAAAGCAAUAGAGGAAAGGCAAAGAAAAUAAGAAGAUGGGUUUGUGAUGAUGACCUAGAGAUGGCUCUCAGGAAAUGAAGGGGUCUGGUCUCAAGCCAGAAGCCUGUUUCUGAAUUCAGGAUUGUGAUUUCCCAAAGGGUUUGGGGGCAAUGUCUGCCAGUAGGCUAUAGAUGUCAUGCAGGUAGCUCUUCACGCUGCCAGCUGGCUGGCUAACUUGUCUCGUUUAGAUAUUAACAGGCUGCAAUUCAGGGAUUAAUGGGCAUGCCAAGCGUGUAGGCUUUGCAAGCAUUGGGUUUUCCAUUUGUUGCGAUGGAUAUGCUGCUCUCACAAAACUAGAGGACUGGCAAAUCUUCAAAACUGGGAUCCAAAACAAAAGCAAAGCAAUAAUGGGUGACUCUCCUCCCUCUCACUUCGUGUGGAGGACAAUGUCCUGGGAGAGGACCAGCCAGCUGCCUCCCAGAGGUUUUGGGCUACAAUCUGAGGCUGAUGGGAGUUGUAGUCCAAAACCCCUGGAAGACACUCCUAGAAAGUGAAGGCACUCCUAGAAAGUGGUGGCAGGCAUCCUAGGACAGUUUCUGAGGGAAACCAAAAUACUUAUUCUGAGUUUUCUUUUUUCUUGUUGUUUUUUUUAAAGUGUAGCUAACUUAGGAACAGCCUGGGGUAGAUGUUAGGGGAACAGGAUUAAGAGUCAGCAGGUACCUAGGUGGUGCAUGCCUGACAAAACAAACACCUGUGACUGCCCACCUGAAACACACCUGCAGUGUUUCAGGUGAUGAUGGAAGUGGGAAUCAAGAGCAGGAGUUUCUGGGAAUUUAGCAACGUGGUUUCUGGUCAUGUCCUGCAGGGCAGUGCCUCUCAGGCUAUCUGAUGUAGUGGACCAGCAUUCUGUUUUCCUCGGUGUGCCAGGAACCAGAACCAUAUUUGGUUCCUGAAGCAUUCACGCCUUGGGCCACUUUCAAUAGCACUGCAUUUGGGAGCCUCUGGGGCAGAGAAUUGCAGAGUUGGGCGAAUUGCAGAGAUGACCCAAGGGCCACCCAGCCCAAUCCCUUGCAAUGCAGGAACCACAGUUAGAGAAUCCCUGACACAUGGCCACCCAACGUGUGUUUAAAUAUCUCCAGUGAAGGAGAGUCCACCACCUGCCGAGGGAGUCCAUUCCACCGUCAAAGAGCUCUUACCAUCAGAAAGUUCUUCCUCAUGUUUGACUGGAAUCUAUUUUCUUGAGAUUUGGAUCCAUUGGUUUUGGCCUCACCCUCUCAAGCAGGAGGAAACAGGCUUGCUUGUUCCAUGAAGAUGGAAGCUCUUCAGAUAUUUCAAGGUGGCUUUUAUGUUACCUCUCAAGUCUUCUCUUUCCCAGGUUAAACCUAUCCAGUUCCUUCAACCUUUCAUCUAGCUGAUUCAGCAGUUGAUCAGAGCCAGGCCAGCCACCAGGCCCAGGGAAGGAGCCAAGUGACAACGCUUCGAGAAGCACCCUGAUUCUCACUGAGUUUGGUGAGAGCUGGGGUGCAGUGGUAGUGGAAGUGGUGAUGGGACACAGCAGGGGGUGGGGAGGCAGCAAUUCCCAUUUCGCCUCAAGUGGUGAAACAGGAUGGGUCACCCCUGGAUCAGAUGCAGCUUCUGCUGACGUGUCGGAGCUUUUCCCCCUCUUUGUCAGCUCUCCAGGGACCUCCUGCCCAGGGCCAGAGUCUCCGGACCAUUCAGGUAUCAGCUGUGCAACUUAAGGUUUCUGGAGUCAUAGAAGGCUCCACAGACAAGAUAGCAGCUCUGGUGGUGGGGGUGGAGACACCUGGAAUGGACAGCUUUUAGCAGCUUUAAAGGUAAAGGGACCCCUGACCAUUAGGUCCAGUCAUGACUGACUCUGGGGUUGCGGCACUCAUUUCGCGUUAUUGGCCAAGGAAGCUGGCGUACAGCUUCCAGGUCAUGUGGCCAGCAUGACAAAGCCGCUUCUGGUGAACGGUCCCUAUUUAUCUACUUGCACUUGACAUGCUUUCGAACUGCUAGGUUGGCAGGAGCCGGGACCGAGCAACAGGAGCUCACCCCGUCAUGGGGAUUUGAACCGCCGACCUUCUGAUCAGCAAGCCCUAGGUUCAGUGGUUUAACCCACAGUGCCACCCGCAUCCCACUUUAGAGGUGGGUUAACCAUUCUGCUGAUAGUGGUGCAGCAAGGGUGGCAUCUCAGGACUCAAUAUCAAGUCCCUGCCACCUGGAGGACCACCUGGAGAAGAGCAGAUGAUGGCAAACAGGUCUGACAUCAGUACCUGAACCUACCAGGGCUUCGUAUUUCGUUUUUAAAAUGCUUUUUAUAGAUGGGGUGGGUGAUCUGUACACGUUUACAGAUGCUCAUUUUCAGCUUUUUACUUCAAAGGUGUGCAAAGCGGUGCUUGUUAUUCCCCAGUAAGCGUAUUUAGUAUCAGACUACCCGUUUUAUUCCUGUAGUUGUAAUGGUGCUUUUUUUUUAAAAAAAAAAUGUAUCAUAUUGGUUUUUAAUAUCAUAAACACAACUGAGAAAGCAAAACUUGGAAUAAUAUACAGAUUAUUGGAUUGUCAAGUACGUAGGGUGAAAUUAAGAUACUCGUAUAUCAAAAAUUCACUAAGUAGACCUUUGUAUAAAGAUACAUGUGACACAAUAAAUGAAGACCAUA